CAGCAGCCGCGGUAAUACGUAGGGUGCAAGCGUUAAUCGGAAUUACUGGGCGUAAAGCGUGCGCAGGCGGUUUUGUAAGUCUGUCGUGAAAUCCCCGGGCUCAACCUGGGAAUGGCGAUGGAGACUGCAAGGCUAGAAUCUGGCAGAGGGGGGUAGAAUUCCACGUGUAGCAGUGAAAUGCGUAGAUAUGUGGAGGAACACCGAUGGCGAAGGCAGCCCCCUGGGCUAAGAUUGACGCUCAUGCACGAAAGCGUGGGGAGCAAACAGGAUUAGAUACCCGGGUAGUCCCUGUCUCUUAUAC
rnacentral:rRNA from 1 species